rnacentral:tRNA from 1 species
GGCUGAUUAGCUCAGUCAGUUGAGCGUGGUGUUAACAAUGCUAAGCUCACGGGUUCGAUUCCCGUUCAGUCC